rnacentral:rRNA from 1 species
CCGGCGCACGGGUGAGUAACACGUAUGCAAUCCACCUGUAACAGGGGGGUAACCCGGAGAAAUCCGGACUAAUACCCCAUAAUAUGGGCGCUCCGCAUGGAGAGCCCAUUAAAGAGAGCAAUUUUGGUUACAGACGAGCAUGCGCUCCAUUAGCCAGUUGGCGGGGUAACGGCCCACCAAAGCGACGAUGGAUAGGGGUUCUGAGAGGAAGGUCCCCCACAUUGGAACUGAGACACGGUCCAA